rnacentral:tRNA from 1 species
GAAAGUAUAAUUUAACUGGUAAAAUACUUAAGUUUAUACUUAAGGUUAUAGGUUCGAUACCUAUUGCUUUCACCA